CAAAGAUCAGGCAGUAGACAGAAACUUUGCAGCUGCUAGAAGAGGACAUCAGGGGAAGAAACUUCAAUGUACAGGUAUUUUAUAAUAAGCAUCUUUCAAUGAGCUGAAAAAGAUGACAUUACUAAACAAACUCACCUGUGGAUGCAGGGGGAACCCAGAGGCAGCUCCCAGCCAAGCAGGGCACAGGGACCGGCAUGGGGCUCUGCCAGGGCAGGGCAAGGAACUGGUCGGAGCCCAGAGGAUUCARCUGUCUUUGUCCCUAUGGCUAUUGUUACCUGAGUCCUUGCUUUGUCCUCCAGGAUGGUGUGGGAUAGAAGUUGUCUCUGGGGCUCCCAUGUUGUCUACACCUGCAGAGCAGCCUGGAUGGUUAGCCAAAGCCCACGGCCAUCAGACUCCAAUUCUUACACAUGCCAGAAAUUCUGGGCUUGAGGGGUUUGGGGAAGAGAGACUCGCAGGUAGAUGAGAGGCACAGUCUUCCAUCUUCUGAGCUUCUCUCUACCACGUUUGCAAAGACGAAACUUAAAACUCAAGCCACUUCUCCAAGUGGUCCGAAGCACUGGGGAGACUAGGAGACCSGCCAACUGCCCUGUCUGAACUUCAAAAUAAGAAGAGAAUGAAGCUGUGGAAUUCAAAAUGAAUAUAUACGCCGAAAGUUAAAGCAC